rnacentral:rRNA from 1 species
UACGGAGGGAGCUAGCGUUGUUCGGAAUUACUGGGCUUAAAGCGCACGUAGGCGGCUUUGUAAGUUAGAGGUGAAAGCCUGGAGCUCAACUCCAGAAUUGCCUUUAAGACUGCAUCGCUCGAAUCCGGGAGAGGUGAGUGGAAUUCCGAAUGUAGAGGUGAAAUUCUUAGAUAUUCGAAAGAACACCAGUUGCGAAGGCGGCUCACUGGACCGGUAUUGACGCUGAGGUGCGAAAGCGUGGGGAUCAAACAGG